AAUCGGAGAGUUUGAUCCUGGCUCAGAACGAACGCUGGCGGCGUGCCUAACACAUGCAAGUCGAACGGUGAAAAUGAGGCUUCGGCCGAAACACGAGUGGCGCACGGGUGAGUAAUACAUAGGUAAUCUGCCCUCGAGUGGGGGAUAACGUUCCGAAAGGAGCGCUAAUACCGCAUAACCCGCAUUGAGCACAAGCUCUUUGCGGCAAAGAUGGCCUCUGCUUGCAAGCUAUCGCUUAAGGAGGAGCCUGUGUCCCAUUAGGUAGUUGGUGAGGUAACGGCUCACCAAGCCUGCGAUGGGUAGCCGGCCUGAGAGGGUGAUCGGCCACACUGGCACUGAGAUACGGGCCAGACUCCUACGGGAGGCAGCAGUGAGGAAUUUUGGGCAAUGGGCGAAAGCCUGACCCAGCGACGCCGCGUGGGCGAUGAAGGUCUUCGGAUUGUAAAGCCCUGUGAGUUGGGAAGAAGGGGUU
rnacentral:rRNA from 1 species